AUUGAACGCUGGCGGCAGGCUUAACACAUGCAAGUCGAGCGGGCGAGGUUGCUUCGGUAACUGAGCUAGCGGCGGACGGGUGAGUAAUGCUUAGGAAUCUGCCUAUUAGUGGGGGACCACAUUCAGAAAGGGAUGCUAAUACCGCAUACGUACUACGGGAGAAAGCAGGGGCUCGUUAUGACCUUGCGCUAAUAGAUGAGCCUAGGUCGGAUUAGCUAGUGGGUGGGGUAAAGGGCUACCAAGGCGACGAUCUGUAGCGGGUCUGAGAGGAUGAUCCGCCACACUGGGACUGAGACACGGCCCAGACUCCUACGGGAGGCAGCAGUGGGGAAUAUUGGACAAUGGGGGGAACCCUGAUCCAGCCAUGCCGCGUGUGUGAAGAAGGCCUUUUGGUUGUAAAGCACUUUAAGUGGGGAGGAGGCUUACCUGGUUAAUACCUGGGCUAAGUGGACGUUACCCACAGAAUAAGCACCGGCUAACUCUGUGCCAGCAGCCGCUGUAA
rnacentral:rRNA from 1 species